GACGGGGGGGGCAAGCGUUGUUCGGAAUUACUGGGCGUAAAGGGCGCGUAGGCGGUUCGCUAAGUCGGAUGUGAAAACUCUGGGCUCAACCCAGAGCCUGCAUCCGAAACUGGCGGGCUAGAGUUCUGGAGGGGGAAGCGGAAUUCCUGGUGUAGCGGUGAAAUGCGUAGAUAUCAGGAGGAACACCGGUGGCGAAGGCGGCUUCCUGGACAGAAACUGACGCUGAGGCGCGAAAGCUAGGGGAGCAAACAGG
rnacentral:rRNA from 1 species